rnacentral:rRNA from 1 species
AACGAACGCUGGCGGCAUGCCUAACACAUGCAAGUCGAACGAGACCUUCGGGUCUAGUGGCGCACGGGUGCGUAACGCGUGGGAACCUGCCCUUAGGUUCGGAAUAACUCCCCGAAAGGGGUGCUAAUACCGGAUAAUGUCUUCGGACCAAAGAUUUAUCGCCUUUGGAUGGGCCGGCGUUGGUUUAGCUAGUUGGUAGGGUAAAAGCCUACCAAGGCGACGAUCCAUAGCUGGUCUGAGAGGAUGAUCAGCCACACUGGGACUGAGACACGGCCCAGACUCCUACGGGAGGCAGCAGUGGGGAAUAUUGGACAAUGGGCGAAAGCAUGAUCCAGCAAUGCCGCGUGAGUGAUGAAGGCCUUAGGGUUGUAAAGCUCUUUUACCCGGGAUGAUAAUGACAGUACCGGGAGAAUAAGCUCCGGCUAACUCCGUG